UACGUAGGGGGCAAGCGUUGUCCGGAUUUAUUGGGCGUAAAGAGCGUGUAGGCGGCCAUGUAGGUCCGUUGUGAAAACUCGAGGCUCAACCUCGAGACGCCGAUGGAAACCAUGUGGCUAGAGUCCGGAAGAGGAGAGUGGAAUUCCUGGUGUAGCGGUGAAAUGCGUAGAUAUCGGGAGGAACACCUGUGGCGAAAGCGGCUCACUGGACCACAACUGACGCUGAGGCGCGAAAGCUAGGGGAGCAAACAGG
rnacentral:rRNA from 1 species